AAAUUGAAGAGUUUGAUCAUGGCUCAGAUUGAACGCUGGCGGCAGGCCUAACACAUGCAAGUCGAACGGUAACAGAAAGCAGCUUGCUUCUUUGCUGACGAGUGGCGGACGGGUGAGUAAUGUCUGGGAAACUGCCUGAUGGAGGGGGAUAACUACUGGAAACGGUAGCUAAUACCGCAUAACGUCGCAAGACCAAAGAGGGGGACCUUCGGGCCUCUUGCCAUCGGAUGUGCCCAGAUGGGAUUAGCUUGUUGGUGGGGUAACGGCUCACCAAGGCGACGAUCCCUAGCUGGUCUGAGAGGAUGACCAGCCACACUGGAACUGAGACACGGUCCAGACUCCUACGGGAGGCAGCAGUGGGGAAUAUUGCACAAUGGGCGCAAGCCUGAUGCAGCCAUGCCGCGUGUAUGAAGAAGGCCUUCGGGUUGUAAAGUACUUUCAGCGGGGAGGAAGGGAGUAAAGUUAAUACCUUUGCUCAUUGACGUUACCCGCAGAAGAAGCACCGGCUAACUCCGUGCCAGCAGCCGCGGUAAUACGGAGGGUGCAAGCGUUAAUCGGAAUUACUGGGCGUAAAGCGCACGCAGGCGGUUUGUUAAGUCAGAUGUGAAAUCCCCGGGCUCAACCUGGGAACUGCAUCUGAUACUGGCAAGCUUGAGUCUCGUAGAGGGGGGUAGAAUUCCAGGUGUAGCGGUGAAAUGCGUAGAGAUCUGGAGGAAUACCGGUGGCGAAGGCGGCCCCCUGGACGAAGACUGACGCUCAGGUGCGAAAGCGUGGGGAGCAAACAGGAUUAGAUACCCUGGUAGUCCACGCCGUAAACGAUGUCGACUUGGAGGUUGUGCCCUUGAGGCGUGGCUUCCGGAGCUAACGCGUUAAGUCGACCGCCUGGGGAGUACGGCCGCAAGGUUAAAACUCAAAUGAAUUGACGGGGGCCCGCACAAGCGGUGGAGCAUGUGGUUUAAUUCGAUGCAACGCGAAGAACCUUACCUGGUCUUGACAUCCACAGAACUUUCCAGAGAUGGAUUGGUGCCUUCGGGAACUGUGAGACAGGUGCUGCAUGGCUGUCGUCAGCUCGUGUUGUGAAAUGUUGGGUUAAGUCCCGCAACGAGCGCAACCCUUAUCCUUUGUUGCCAGCGGUCCGGCCGGGAACUCAAAGGAGACUGCCAGUGAUAAACUGGAGGAAGGUGGGGAUGACGUCAAGUCAUCAUGGCCCUUACGACCAGGGCUACACACGUGCUACAAUGGCGCAUACAAAGAGAAGCGACCUCGCGAGAGCAAGCGGACCUCAUAAAGUGCGUCGUAGUCCGGAUUGGAGUCUGCAACUCGACUCCAUGAAGUCGGAAUCGCUAGUAAUCGUGGAUCAGAAUGCCACGGUGAAUACGUUCCCGGGCCUUGUACACACCGCCCGUCACACCAUGGGAGUGGGUUGCAAAAGAAGUAGGUAGCUUAACCUUCGGGAGGGCGCUUACCACUUUGUGAUUCAUGACUGGGGUGAAGUCGUAACAAGGUAACCGUAGGGGAACCUGCGGUUGGAUCACCUCCUUACCUUAAAGAAGC
rnacentral:rRNA from 1 species